AGUGAACGCUGGCGGCAGGCCUAGCACAUGCAAGUCGAACGGCAGCACAGUAAGAGCUUGCUCUUAUGGGUGGCGAGUGGCGGACGGGUGAGGAAUACAUCGGAAUCUACUCUUUCGUGGGGGAUAACGUAGGGAAACUUACGCUAAUACCGCAUACGACCUACGGGUGAAAGCGGAGGACCUUCGGGCUUCGCGCGAUUGAAUGAGCCGAUGUCGGAUUAGCUAGUUGGCGGGGUAAAGGCCCACCAAGGCGACGAUCCGUAGCUGGUCUGAGAGGAUGAUCAGCCACACUGGAACUGAGACACGGUCCAGACUCCUACGGGAGGCAGCAGUGGGGAAUAUUGGACAAUGGGCGCAAGCCUGAUCCAGCCAUGCCGCGUGGGUGAAGAAGGCCUUCGGGUUGUAAAGCCCUUUUGUUGGGAAAGAAAAGCAGUCGGUUAAUACCCGAUUGUUCUGACGGUACCCAAAGAAUAAGCACCGGCUAACUUCGUGCCAGCCGCCGCAGUAAAAC
rnacentral:rRNA from 1 species